GGAGCCUGAGAAACGGCUACCACAUCCAAGGAAGGCAGCAGGCACGUAAAUUACCCACUCUCAAUGCGAGGAGGUAGUGACUAUCAAUAACGAGACAGAUCUCUAUGAGGCCUGUUAUCGGAAUGGGUACAAUGUAAACCCUUUAACGAGGAUCUAUGAGAGGGCAAGUCUGGUGCCAGCAGCCGCGGUAAUUCCAGCUCUCAAUGUGUAUAUCGUCAUUGCUGCGGUUAAAAAGCUCGUAGUUGGAUCUGAGACAGCGGAGGUGGUGCUCUCUGAGUAACUGCCGUUCGUGUCUGAAUGUCGGUUUGGCGUAGCCUUCGGGUUGCGUUGACUGGCGUGAUUACCUUGAAUAAAUUAAAGUGCUCAAAACAGGCGUUACGCUUGUAUAUCCGAUCAUGGAAUAAUGGAAUAUGACUUCGGUUUGUUCUGUUGGUCUUAGAACCGAAAUAAUGGUUAAGCGGGACUGACGGGGGCAUACGUAUCGUUGCGAUAGAGGUGAAAUUCUUGGACCACAGCGGGACGCCCAAUUGCGAAAGCAUUUGCCAAGAAUGUCUUCAUUAAUCAAGAACGAAAGUCAGAGGAUCGAAGGCGAUUAGAUACCGCCCUAGUUCUGACCGUAAACUAUACCAACUAGCGAUCAGGUGUCGAUAGAUUAGUCGCGCUUGGGAGCUUCUCGGAAACGAAAGUCUUCGGGUUCCGGGGGUAGUAUGGUUGCAAAACUGAAACUUAAAGGAAUUGACGGAAGGGCACCACCAGGAGUGGAGCCUGCGGCUUAAUUUGACUCAACACGGGAAAACUCACCCGGCCCGGACACUGUGAUGAUUGACAGAUUGAAAGUUCUUUCUCGAUUCGGUGGUUGGUGGUGCAUGGCCGUUCUUAGUUGGUGGAUUGAUUUGUCUGGUUUAUUCCGAUAACGAACGAGACUCUAACCUGCUAAAUAGACUUCUGGUAGCUUGGCCAGUUGACUUCUUAGAGGGAUAAGUGGUGUUCAGCCACAUGGAAGUGAGCAAUAACAGGUCUGUUAUGCCCAAUCACUAGU
rnacentral:rRNA from 1 species